rnacentral:rRNA from 1 species
CCUACGGGAGGCUGCAGUGGGGAAUAUUGGACAAUGGGCGAAAGCCUGAUCCAGCCAUGCCGCGUGUGUGAAGAAGGCCUUCGGGUUGUAAAGCACUUUCAGUGGGGAAGAAAGCCUUGGGGCUAAUACCCUCGAGGAAGGACAUCACCCACAGAAGAAGCACCGGCUAACUCCGUGCCAGCAGCCGCGGUAAUACGGAGGGUGUGAGCGUUAAUCGGAAUUACUGGGCGUAAAGCGCGCGUAGGCGGUCUGAUAAGCCGGUUGUGAAAGCCCCGGGCUCAACCUGGGAACGGCAUCCGGAACUGUCAGGCUAGAGUGCAGGAGAGGAAGGUAGAAUUCCCGGUGUAGCGGUGAAAUGCGUAGAGAUCGGGAGGAAUACCAGUGGCGAAGGCGGCCUUCUGGACUGACACUGACGCUGAGGUGCGAAAGCGUGGGUAGCAAACAGGAUUAGAUACCCCUGUAGUC